rnacentral:rRNA from 1 species
GAUUAACGCUAGCGGAAGGCAUAAUACAUGCAAGUCGAACGGGAUAGAACUUAGCAAUAGGUUCUUGAGAGUGGCGCACGGGUGCGUAACACGUAUGCAACCUACCUUUAACCGGGACACAACCUCGAGAAAUUGUGGCUAAUAUCCCAUAACACUGCGAAGUGGCAUCACUUUGCAGUUAAAACUCCGGUGGUUAUUGAUGGGCAUGCGCGACAUUAGCUAGUUGGUGAGGUAACGGCCCACCAAGGCUACGAUGUCUAGGGGUUCUGAGAGGAUUAUCCCCCCACACUGGUACUGAGACACGGACCAGACUCCUACGGGAGGCAGCAGUAAGGAAUAUUGGUCAAUGGGCGCAAGCCUGAACCAGCCAUGCCGCGUGAAGGAUGACGGCCCUAUGGGUUGUAAACUUCUUUUGUACGGGAAAAAACCACCGGUCGUGUAUCGGUGCUGAUGGUACCGUAAGAAUAAGCAUCGGCUAACUCCGUGCCAGCAGCCGCGGU